UCCGCCGCGGAGCCUCAGCAUUUACAUGCGAGUCAGACAGACGCGGCGAGACGCUGGCACGGGGCAGGAGGAAGAAGAUGUGAGAAUGAGCGACCUGCAGACACCACACAGCUCCCUCGGGACUUCACUCCCCUUGGUCUCCGCAGCUCUAAGAUGCCAUUUAUGACAAGGGACAUCGCUCAUGUGCCACCAAAUGAAGAAAAAGUUGAACUCCUAAACAUUGUUGGUGGGAAGUCUCGUCUUGAUUUCAGAUGUUAAAAUUACAUUUCAGAUCGAUGAUGGGUGGAUUAAUUCAGUGAAUCCACAGAUAUUUGGAGGUUUCCCUGGGCAGCAUUAUCCCAGCAGCCGGAGGCAUCACCCUAUGCUGGGCAUCUUUGGGAAGUGUGCGACGCAGGAUCCCUCGUUGCUGUUUUCUUGUCCCCUAAGUCAGUGACCACAGCAAACUCUACGAACAACGGCAGUGGUGACUUGGCCUCUUCAGGGAGCCCCACGAUGCUUCAGCCCCGGGAGGUGGGCCUCCAUCACCUAGAAGCCGGUGCUCUGGAGGGUCCUGCCUGACCCAUCUGCGUCUGGAUCACUGAAGCCCCAGCCCCACUUCUUUGCCUUCCCUCAGAAGACUUUAUAACCUAUAAAGGAAUUUUUCUCAGUGGUCCAAUCACCACCUCCUUCCGUCUGGAGGACCGUGGCAUUGCUGCUGUGACCCUGUAAGGACCCCAGACUUUUUGU